UGUACCCAGAGUGAGGAAUAACUGCCCGAAAGGGUGGCUAAUACCGCAUACGGUCUUCGGAUUAAAGCCUUCGGGCGCUUUGGGAACAGCUUGCGUACGAUUAGAUAGUUGGUGAGGUAAAGGCUCACCAAGUCAACGAUCGUUAACUGGUCUGAGAGGAUGAUCAGUCAGACUGGAACUGAGAUACGGUCCAGACUCCUACGGGAGGCAGCAGUGAGGAAUCUUCCACAAUGGGGGCAACCCUGAUGGAGCAACGCCGCGUGCAGGAUGAAGGCCUUCGGGUCGUAAACUGCUUUUAUAGGUGAAUAAUAUGAAUGUAGCUUAUGAAUAAGCACCGGCUAACUACGUGCCAGCAGCCGCGGUCAUACGUAGGGUGCAAGCAUUAUCCGGAGUGACUGGGCGUAAAGAGUUGCGUAGGUGGUUUGUCAAGUGAAUAGUGAAAUCUGGUGGCUCAACCACACAGACUAUUAUUCAAACUGGCAAACUCGAGAAUAGCAGAGGUAACUGGAAUUUCUAGUGUAGGAGUGAAAUCCGUAGAUAUUAGAAGGAACACCAAUGGCGUAGGCAGGUUACUG
rnacentral:rRNA from 1 species